rnacentral:lncRNA from 1 species
UCCAAUUUCAUCUUCCCAAAUCCAAAUUUUGUUGGUAUGUUUUCCCUCUCUCCUUCUCUCCUCCCUUGUUUAUUUGUUACGCUAGUUCACACUUUUUUUUUUCUUUUUUUCUUUUUUGUAUUUUUCUAUUUUGUCCAAUCGAUUUUCACUGUUGUUUGAUUCAUCCUCUUAUUUUUUCAUUUUUCUUUAUAAUUGUCUGAUGAGUCUUUUAUUCUUUUUUCACUUUUUUAGUUGAUUUUUGAUCGGAUCCGAAUUGAUCUGGGAUGGAUCAGAUGACUUGUCCAUUUUUGGACAACUCGGAGAUGAUUCAAUUCAAGUCGACUGAGUUUGUCAGAGUUCUCGGCGAGUCUUCCGUCACCGUGGCAAUGUGGACUGGACACGGACCGGAGUCCUCCAAUCUAGUGAUGACUCUCGGAUCUUUGAACCAUGACUAUGAUAUGUUUAAUGUAAUUUUUUCCAUCAGUGCAUAUCUCAUGGAAUGAAAUAUUAUAUUUUAUCA